AAUUUGAAAUGUCUGAGCUAGACUCAUUUUUUUAGGGCUUAAAAUCUGAAUCUUCAGUGAAACUGGGGAAGAAAGAACGAUGAAGUCCUCAAGAGUUUUACUAGUGAUCCUGUGGCUUCAGUUAACCUGGAUGAAGAGUCAACAGAAGGGAGUGGAGCAGAGUCCCGGAUCUCUGAGCCUUCGGGAGGGAGACGCUGCUUCUCUCAACUGCAAUUACAGCGACAGUGCUUCCCAGUACUUCACAUGGUACAGACAGUAUUCCGGGAAGGGCCCUGAAUUGCUGAUGUAUAUGUACUCCAACAGUAACAAGACGGAAGGAAGAUUUUCGGGACAGGUUGAUAGAGCAAAACAAUAUGUCUCCCUGCUCAUCAGAGACUCCCAGCCCAGCGACUCAGCCAUCUACCUCUGUGCAGUGAGCACACAGUACUUCCCUGGCACCUGCUGUCUGUACCCAAACCCUCUAGGAUCCCAACACUGUCUUGAUAUAGAGCCUAAGCUGCAGGGUCCUCACCAGACACUCAGCCCCUCCUUCCUGCAGCUGGCUGACGUUGUGCAGAGAAGAAACCGUGACAAAAAGAGGCCAGAAGAGAAAGACUCCUUCUUACAGUCUUUGAAACUUGUCAAAGCCACGGACUUGUCCAGCCCCACCUCCCCACUCUUCCUGUAG